rnacentral:rRNA from 1 species
GACGAACGCUGGCGGCGUGCCUAAUACAUGCAAGUAGAACGCUGAAGGAGGAGCUUGCUCUUCUGGAUGAGUUGCGAACGGGUGAGUAACGCGUAGGUAACCUGCCUGGUAGCGGGGGAUAACUAUUGGAAACGAUAGCUAAUACCGCAUAAUAGUAGAUGUUGCAUGACAUUUGCUUAAAAGGUGCAAUUGCAUCACUACCAGAUGGACCUGCGUUGUAUUAGCUAGUUGGUGAGGUAACGGCUCACCAAGGCGACGAUACAUAGCCGACCUGAGAGGGUGAUCGGCCACACUGGGACUGAGACACGGCCCAGACUCCUACGGGAGGCAGCAGUAGGGAAUCUUCGGCAAUGGACGGAAGUCUGACCGAGCAACGCCGCGUGAGUGAAGAAGGUUUUCGGAUCGUAAAGCUCUGUUGUAAGAGAAGAACGAG